GGUUUGUGGCUCAGUGGUAGAGCCCUUGCCUAGCACACAUGAGGCACUGGGUUUCAAUUCCCAGCACCA
rnacentral:tRNA from 1 species